rnacentral:tmRNA from 1 species
GGGGCUGAUUUGGAUUCGACGGGAUACAUAAAGCUUUAGGUGCAUGCCGAGGUGGGGCUGGCCUCGUAAAAAGCCUCAAACUAAUAGUUGCAAACGAUAACAACUACGCUUUAGCGGCUUAAUCCCCGCUAACCAUCCACUCAGGCUUCGUCUAUAAGCAGAGGUUCGGAUGGUCAUAAUUAUAGACUCGCGCGGAUGCUUCGCUCGGAGCUGAACCGUUAAAACUAAUCGAGCUCGCUGUUCAAUAGCCUGCCCCUCGGCGAUUGACCAGUUAACUAAAUGAGACGGCUAAGCAUGUAGUACCGAGAGUGGCGGUAUAACGGACGGGGGUUCGAAUCCCCCCAGCUCCACCA